AGCGAACGCUGGCGGCAGGCUUAACACAUGCAAGUCGAACGCAUCGCAAGAUGAGUGGCAGACGGGUGAGUAACGCGUGGGAACAUACCCUUUUCUACAGAAUAGCUCUGGGAAACUGGAAUUAAUACCGUAUACGCCCUACGGGGGAAAGAUUUAUCGGGGAAGGAUUGGCCCGCGUUGGAUUAGCUAGUUGGUGGGGUAAAGGCCUACCAAGGCGACGAUCCAUAGCUGGUCUGAGAGGAUGAUCAGCCACAUUGGGACUGAGACACGGCCCAAACUCCUACGGGAGGCAGCAGUGGGGAAUAUUGGACAAUGGGCGCAAGCCUGAUCCAGCCAUGCCGCGUGAGUGAUGAAGGCCUUAGGGUUGUAAAGCUCUUUCACCGAUGUAGAUAAUGACGGUAGUCGGAGAAGAAGCCCCGGCUAACUUCGUGCCAGCCGCCGCGGUAA
rnacentral:rRNA from 1 species